rnacentral:rRNA from 1 species
CCGGGUUGCGGACAGUGUCUGGUGGGUAGUUUGACUGGGGCGGUCUCCUCCUAAAGAGUAACGGAGGAGCACGAAGGUUGGCUAAUCCUGGUCGGACAUCAGGAGGUUAGUGCAAUGGCAUAAGCCAGCUUGACUGCGAGCGUGACGGCGCGAGCAGGUGCGAAAGCAGGUCAUAGUGAUCCGGUGGUUCUGAAUGGAAGGGCCAUCGCUCAACGGAUAAAAGGUACUCCGGGGAUAACAGGCUGAUACCGCCCAAGAGUUCAUAUCGACGGCGGUGUUUGGCACCUCGAUGUCGGCUCAUCACAUCCUGGGGCUGAAGUAGGUCCCAAGGGUAUGGCUGUUCGCCAUUUAAAGUGGUACGCGAGCUGGGUUUAGAACGUCGUGAGACAGUUCGGUCCCUAUCUGCCGUGGGCGCUGGAGAACUGAGGGGGGCUGCUCCUAGUACGAGAGGACCGGAGUGGACGCAUCACUGGUGUUCGGGUUGUCAUGCCAAUGGCACUGCCCGGUAGCUAAAUGCGGAAGAGAUAAGUGCUGAAAGCAUC